AUCGUGGACCAAAGAGGAAACUGACAACACACAGACAGAAGAAGACAGAGAAGGUCACUUCUGAUCCAUCAAAGUCCUCAUCUUCUGUGUCUGAAUUGAACAGCUGGGCAACAGCUUUUGAACAGGUUUCUUCAUCUAACAUGCCGGGUUCCCUCUCAUCAUGGUUGAUCGCUGCCAGCGUACGUAGUGUACGUAAUACGUCCCUGUGUCCGACAGUCAGCCUCGCGUGUGGAGACUUCAGAAGAUGCCAGACCUCACAAAGAUUUCAGAUGAUGGAAACUAUAGAUGAACAUGCAAAGCUGCUAAAUAAUCCUUAUAUUGUAAUCAUUGUCCUAAAAGGUAAGUUUGCAGGCUGAUUUAAGGUGUGCUCCUACAUUUUCUGCUUGUACUCCUAUGUAUUUAUGAUACAAAUGUAAAUGACUGUAA